rnacentral:tRNA from 1 species
GGAGAGGUGCCAGAGCGGCUGAAUGGGCCGGUUUCGAAAACCGGUGUGGCGCUUCGCGUCACCGGGGGUUCGAAUCCCCCCCUCUCCG